rnacentral:tRNA from 1 species
GCCUGGCUAGCUCAGCUGGUAGGGUAUGAGACACUUCAUCUCAGGGUUGGGGGUUGGUGUCCCACGUUGGGUA